GCCCACACUGNNNNNGAGACACGGCCCAGACUCCUACGGGAGGCAGCAGUGGGGAAUAUUGCACAAUGGGCGAAAGCCUGAUGCAGCAACGCCGCGUGAGGGAUGACGGCCUUCGGGUUGUAAACCUCUUUUAGCAGGGAAGAAGCGAAAGUGACGGUACCUGCAGAAAAAGCACCGGCUAACUACGUGCCAGCAGCCGCGGUAAUACGUAGGGUGCAAGCGUUAUCCGGAAUUAUUGGGCGUAAAGAGCUCGUAGGCGGUUUGUCGCGUCUGCUGUGAAAUCUGGGGGCUCAACCCCCAGCCUGCAGUGGGUACGGGCAGACUAGAGUGCGGUAGGGGAGAUUGGAAUUCCUGGUGUAGCGGUGGAAUGCGCAGAUAUCAGGAGGAACACCGAUGGCGAAGGCAGAUCUCUGGGCCGUAACUGACGCUGAGGAGCGAAAGGGUGGGGAGCAAACAGGCUUAGAUACCCUGGUAGUCCACCCCGUAAACGUUGGGAACUAGUUGUGGGGUCCAUUCCACGGAUUCCGUGACGCAGCUAACGCAUUAAGUUCCCCGCCUGGGGAGUACGGCCGCAAGGCUAAAACUCAAAGGAAUUGACGGGGACCCGCACAAGCGGCGGAGCAUGCGGAUUAAUUCGAUGCAACGCGAAGAACCUUACCAAGGCUUGACAUAUACGAGAACGGGCCAGAAAUGGUCAACUCUUUGGACACUCGUAAACAGGUGGUGCAUGGUUGUCGUCAGCUCGUGUCGUGAGAUGUUGGGUUAAGUCCCGCAACGAGCGCAACCCUCGUUCUAUGUUGCCAGCACGUAAUGGUGGGAACUCAUGGGAUACUGCCGGGGUCAACUCGGAGGAAGGUGGGGAUGACGUCAAAUCAUCAUGCCCCUUAUGUCUUGGGCUUCACGCAUGCUACAAUGGCCGGUACAAAGGGCUGCAAUACCGUGAGGUGGAGCGAAUNNNNAAAAGCCGGUCCCAGUUCAGAUUGAGGUCUGCAACUCGACCUCAUGAAGUCGGAGUCGCUAGUAA
rnacentral:rRNA from 1 species